UUUUUUUUUUUUUUUUGGGGUAACGAAGUCUUACGGUUGUGAAAACUUCAUUCCCUUCUUGAAGAAAAUAUUGACCAGCUCGGAUGUCCAUAAUUCACGGAUUCAAUACUGGAUGAGCGCAACAUAUUUCUACUUUGUGGUACCUCACUCUCUAGGCAGUUCUGGGUCUUUUUCUUUAAUUUAACCCUGGUUAUGAAACUCUUGAAAAUUAAUGCUAACUGCUUUGCAGAAAAUUUAUCAAGCAGGAAAAGGAAAUUGAACCAUAAAAAACAAUGACAAUUGACAACAAAAUGAGUUUACCAAAAGAAACUGCAUAUGCUCAGUACGGAAAGGAAAGUUAACUCGGAUCACAAGUUUUCUACUCUUACCGCCAUGGAACAUGGCAUCGUAGUCUGAGCUUUUCUGUGACAGUGAAGAAAACACGGCAUAAAAGGAGAAUUGUGGUCGAAAUUUUAAUUGUUGUAUUCCUAUCUAACAUUAUUGUUUCUGUUGAAAUAUCAAGACGGAUGGCUUAAUUAUAUAGGCCAGGAUGAAGUCCCCCAAAAAAAUUUUUUUUUUUUGUUGGUAGGAAGAAAUACUAGAUAAUAGUAGAAAUGUAACCUCUGAAAGUUGCAACACUAGUGGACUCAGGUUUACAGAUGCCUUCAAACCAGAAAGCUUGGACUACGAUGUCAUGUUCCUAACAAUACAAAAACUGAUAUCCAAGUUUAAUUUUCCUUUCCAUAACGCGCAGCAAUUGUAGUUUCUUCUGGUAAACUCAUUCAGUUGUCAAUUUUCAUUGUCUUAAUUUAGGCGAAUUUCAUUUUCAUGCUGGAUAACUUUUCUGCUAAGAAGUUAGCACUAAUAAUCAAGAAGUUUAAAUUCAAGGGAAAGACGCAGAAUAGCGUACGUAAAGAUUGAUGCACUACAAAAUGGAUAGGUAGCAAUCGUAUUCAGUAUUUUAAUCCGUCAAAUAUGGACAUCCAAGAAAAUCAAUAGUAUCUUCAAAAAAAUUGAAGAUUUCAACGCCUAAUUGGAAAAAAAAAAAAAUGAGUAUCUUGAAGGAUUGAAGAUUUCACUAACGCCUAAUUGAAUAUAGUUUUCAAGUUUUUAUAUUUAUUAUUGUGAAAUGUAAUUUUUAUUUGGUGAAUUCGAUUAUAUUUGAAUAUGCUUGAUUAAACUCAAUUAUAUUUGAAUAGACUUAAUUAAGUUUGAUUAGACUCAAUUAGGCUUAAUUAAACUCGAAUUCGAGUAAGGUAAACUAAAGUUGAACCUGACUUCUAAAAGUUCAAACAACUCGAGUUCGAAUUCAAAUUCAAUUAUUUUAUCUUACUAUUCGAGCUUAACUCAAUUUAAAUGCACCCCUAGUCAUGCUACAAAGUGGUUCAAACCACACUUGUGCACUUCAAUUUGUGAAGGUGAUGAUUGACUGCCAAUGGCAUCGCAAUCGAUCACAUUCUCACCUCUGUUCAUAAAGUUAUUCGAAAAUCCAGUUACGUCAACAUCAAAUUCACUAGUGAAAAUCAGGUUUGUGGGAUUCGUAGACAAAAUUUUGUGGAAUAUUGGUGGAUUUUGAAGCAAAUUCCGGGACACGGACCAAUACUGAGCAAUUGCCAAUUGGUUCAAAAUUGAGAGAUAUGAAAAGUCCUACUUUAUUUUUCUAUGCACGCAUUCAUUUUGUCCUUUUGCUGAAUGUAAACACAAUUAACAUCGGUAACAACGGUGGUUACAAAGGAAGCAGACUCUUGGGGGCAGAGUGAUCAGCCUCUUAAGGUUAGAUUCAAGAAAGCAUAAAUCUUAUUUUUCUCUUAAAAAGGUUAGUUUUUGUGAGAAUUGUAUCCUGACAGGCAACCCACAAGAAAUAUUGCACUCGACUGUUUGCUAAAAAUUUUUCAAACCCAUGAAAUAUCUUACUCAGUCGCAUCUUUGUACUUUCAAUCCCCAGUAGAUGAACAUUAUAUUUUAAAGAGAACUGACCCUUAGUGUUAGCUUUCCAAAUGAUGGAGUCUUGAACAUCUGACAUCUAACUUCUUGGAAUGGCUUUAAUGGUAUUGGUGAUACAAUCAGAAAGUUCAAAAGAAAUACAAUCAAAUUUUCAUCAACCUCUAUCUCCAAAGAUAGAGGAAAUAAUGAGGGAAUCCUCCUUUAAAUUGAAGAGAACCAGAAACUAAACUCCUUAAAGGCCCCAAAGAAGUCCAAUCUUCCAGCCAAAUCCUAGCAUGUUUUCCAUUAUUGAUGGCCCAUCCCACUCCUUAAUUAUAAAGGUCUACUCCAAUUAUAAGACUCUUCUGGUUCAUAGAUCCUUUGAUAUGGUUAAGGAUCGCUCUUUUGUUAUGUCUGGUGGUUAAGGAAUCCACAUACUUAUGAUUCAGAAUUUUAACCCAAGGUUUUUCUUCCUCUUGCAUAAUUCUUCAGCACAACCCAACCAUUGCUAUUGCAUUCACAUCAACAGUCUUCCUAAUGCCAAGCCCACCAAGAGUUUUGGGAGUUGUUACGGUCUCCCAAUUUACCGAAUAGACCUCGGAGCAUAUACUAUAUCAUAAGAGGAAGGGUCUCUCAAACAGAUUGAUUAGAUAUGGUUGGACUUGGAGCGCUGUUGAAAGUUUCAAAGCAGGACUAGCAACAGUAGAUGCCCGUGUAGGGGGGGCAACGGAUAGAAAUUGUGUAAAUGGAGAGUCCGCGCAACACCACCAAUCAGAGGGGGGAGAUGCGGACGAUCCAAUAGCAAGUCAUUUUGAGGAUCUAAGACGCCAAAUGAUCCGAGCUACGUUCAUCUCAGGCGAUCGUUCAAACAAGUUCUUGUUAUAUACUCCCUCCUUUUUUUUUAUAACUGAAGUUUAAGAUUUUGCACACCAAUUAAGAAAAAUUUUUCAUUGCUUAAAUCUGUACACUAUUUUCCUUUUGUACCCUCAUUAAUUAUCUAAUUCACCCAUGUUUUCUCUCACUAGAGUACUAAAUGGUGUUGUUUUACUAGGCCAAAAGCAAUGCAAGCUAACUCCCACCAAACUAGGAGUAGUAAUUAAGAACCCUGUAUUGGAAAAGAGAGAUAAAAGGGUAAAAUUGUGAAAAAAUAAUUAAUACUGUAUGGGAAUAAUAAAACGACAGAUAAAAAUACACUAAAGCAAAUUUCUUAAACAUCGGUUAUAAAAAAAGGGAUGGAGUAUAUAUAUAUUUUUGUUGUGUUCGGAGGGAUAUCCUGAAAUCACCAGGCUAAUUACUCCAAAGUGACAGAGCUCACCUCGAAGAUGCCCAACAACAAUAACAAGAAUAUAUGCUGACAUCACUCAUUUGUGAUGUAGGCCCUCCCUUUUCUCUACAGCAAAACAUAUACAGACAUUUAAUUUGUGCUAAAUUCUUCAUUUUUUUCAAAUAUGUAUUAAAGCAUACCAUUAAGCGUCAGAAACAAACUAAAAUUAAGCUGCAUCCUUAAUUUUAGGAAUUUUCAUGUUUGUGGGUCCUCAUGUUUACGGCAGGUGGACUCAUCAAGAAAAUUGACCUAUCCUGACCUCAUUUUCAAACUGCAGCCAAAAACGAAUUGAACAAAGGAAAAAGAAAAAUAAAAAAAAAGAGAAAAAUCUACCAAAAAAAAAAAAACCGUUUGUUAGUUUCAUAACCUUAUAGCAACGGCUUAGAUUGUAAAUUAUUUCACUUUAUAGAGACGUGUCUCUAGAGAUGUAAUUAUUUCACUUUACAGAGAUGUAAAUUAUUUCACCUUAUGACAAUCCAAACACACUCAUAAUGUUGAGUGAAAUAUUGCUCUGCUGUUCGAAAGUCCAAAGAGCUAGGAAUUUCUCACAGAGACGUGUCUGUAUCAAAAAUUUUUUCUUUUUUGUUGAGGAAAAAAAAAAGCCAGGCCCUUGCGUUUGAAGAACAAGUAAUAUCGCUAUUUAUCUGCUAUUAUCUGCUUGUUUUUGCUGUAAAAUUCACAAAGCCAAACAAUAAUCUCGACCUAUACAUAUUGAAGUAGAGGCAAACCAAAUCUCACAACGUUGACUGAAUCAAUACAGAAUUACAAACUAAUGCAAGACUCUUCUCAUCUUCAUGAGACCAUAUGCUAAGCACAACUAUAUAUUGUCCUACCCACACUUUGCUAAACCUAAAAGGGCAUUGCGUUGGACAUGAAAAUUGUUUUUUCGUAAACACGUUUUCUAAUCAUCUUUUUAUCUCAUAUACAUCAAACUAUUAUAAUAUAUUCUUU
rnacentral:lncRNA from 1 species